rnacentral:rRNA from 1 species
UACGUAGGGUGCGAGCGUUAAUCGGAAUUACUGGGCGUAAAGAGUGCGUAGGCGGUCCCGCAAGUCCGCUGUGAAAGCCCCGGGCUUAACCUGGGAAUGGCAGUGGAAACUAUGGGACUUGAAUCUGGCAGAGGGGGGUGGAAUGCCACGGUGUAGCAGUGAAAUGCGUAGAGAUGUGGCGGAACACCGAUGGCGAAGGCAGCCCCCUGGGUCAAG